CACAAUGGCCACUCCUUCAACCAUAGAAACAUUUCAGAUGUCUGAAGAAAUUCUAGAGCCUGAUCAGGAUGUGAUACCAGAGAGCUCUUACAUGUCUGACUCCACCACAGCACUAGGCCAAAGUCAUGCAGGUUUGAUCUACCAGACCCUUCAGGAAUCACGGGCCCUACGCUCUGCACAGGAUGAAGAAUACCAGAGGUCCCUCUUGGCUG